AUUUAUUUCAAAUGUUUUUUAAAACAGCACUGUUAUUUCUCAGGACAAGAGCAAAAUUUAGCUUAAGCCUGUCUGCUGACCAGAGAAUGGAAUUCUGCGUGGACUCAAGGAACAAAAGGAAACUAGGCAGGGAAGGGGAAGAAAAGUGCCCAUCUGAAUCAAACUUCAGCUGCCAUCAGGGCACAUCUUGUGGUGGUCACAGAUUGUAGGCUGUUUUUUGGAAGAUUCGGGUUCAGCACAGGAUUCCAUUUGUCUGCAAUCAGAUGAUAAGACGACAGGUGGCAUUAGAACUGUAAAAGUAUGGGAGGGAAACUGGUAAGAGAUACUUAAAUCCCUUUCAACAUCUGAAAACACAUUUAACUAGGAAUAGUUAAGGGUUUUACAUCACAUUCUUUUGUACAUUUCAUGAAUACUUGACAGAAAACAUUGCUUCACCCAGUCUCUAGGUCUCCUAAGACACGCAUGGGUGUAGUUCAGUGCUUACCUACUUGGCUACACCCCUGGCUGAGGUGCCAUGAGGUCAAUGUCACUCAAGUUCCUGGCCAGCCAAACUCCCGCAGCAAAGAGUCCCAAAUUUAGUAUCAAGUUCCUGGAAAAACAAUGUGUUUUAUUAACCCUGUGGUCACUGAGUCAGUUGUACAGUUAACGAAAUGUACUGGGGGGAAAGGCUUCCAUCACCACCUUCCCGAGGCGUUGAUACGUGGUUGUGACGGCAGGUUGCUCAAGACCCACGUGGGAAUUUGGAGUUCAUUUUUGUGCCUAGUAAGUGUAAGGUCAGGCUGGGCGCGGUGGUUCACGCCUGUAAUCCCAGCACUUUGGAAGGCCAAGGCAGGCGGAUCACGAAGUCAGGAGCUCGAGACCAGCCUGGCCAACAUGGUGAAACCCCGUCUCUACUAAAAAUACAAAAAUUAGCUGGGCGUGGUGGUGCGCGCCUGUAAUCCCAGCUACUGGGGAGGCUGAGGCAGGAAAAUCGCUUGAACCCGGGAGGCGGAGGCUGCAGUGAGCUGAGGUCCGCCACUACACUCCAGCCUGGGCGACAGAGCGAGGCUGUCUCAAAAAGAAAUAAAUGUGGCCGGGCGCGGUGGCUCACGCCUGUAAUCCCAGCACUUUGGGAGGCAGAGUCGGGUGGAUCGAGAAGUCAGGAGUUUGAGACCAGCCUGCCCAAGAUGGUGAAACCCCGUCUCUACUAAAAAUACAAAAAUUAGCUGGGCGUGGUGGCGCGCGCUUGUAAUCCCAGCUACUGGGGAGGCUGAGGCAGGAGAAUCGCUUGAACCCGGGAGGCAGAAGGGGCAGUGAGCCGAGAUUGCGCCUCUGCACUCCAGCCUGGGCGACAGAGUGAGACUCCGUCUCAAAAAAAAAAAAAAAAAAAAAAAAAAAGGCCGGGCGUGGUGGCUCACGCCUGUAAUCCCAGCACUUUGGGAGGCCGAGGCGGGCGGAUCACGAGGUCAGGAGAUCGAGACCAUCCUGGAUAACACGGUGAAACCCCGUCUCUACUAAAAAUACAAAAAAUUAGCAGGGCGUGGUGGCGGGCGGCCGUAGUCCCAGCUACUCGGGAGGCUGAGGCAGGAGAAUGGCGUGAACCCGGGAGGCGGAGCUUGCAGUGAGCCGAGAUCGCGCCACUGCACUCCAGCCUGGGCAACAGAGUGAGACUCCGUCUCAAAAAAAAAAAAAAAACAAAAAAGAAAUGUAAGAUCAAACGCAAAGCCCAGCUAAAGCACUAGUCCAGGGCCGAAAAAGCCUGUUUACGUGCUAGCACUUCUUCCCUUGAUCAGGGUGACAUUACAGAUACAGCCACAUGACAGAAAGAUCGCUUUUGCCACACGGGAACUCUCCUGGCCAGGGAUCUCAGUGAGGCACAGCCAGAGCUACGAAGACGCCACAAUGCUGGUAAUGUUAAAAAACAAAAACAAAAAACCCUGAGGCGCCAGCCUCGCAAGAAAGGGGAAAUACGGAUUUAAGGGCCAGAAAAGGACCAAGUUCCUCGGGCUCGGUUACCUCCGGAAGUCAUUCCUAUCAGUGGCAAAGCGGUAGACGCCCCGAAGCCAAUCUCCCACGUUGUCCGGUAUUUCGGGAGUUUCAUUAG
rnacentral:lncRNA from 1 species